UAAGUAGGCGGAGGAAAUGACACAAACAUGGAUUCACUGAGUAACUGCGAGUGACAUGUGAUUUGCUCACAGCUGAUAUUCUUUGCUGUCUGCUUUGACAUGAGGACUUUGAGUGCGGUGCCAAUGGUGGUGUAAGUGUGAGCCAUCUUGGAAAAGAGGAGAGUGUGCACUGACAAGGGUGAGAAGCCUGUGUGUGCUUGCAAAAUCUCCAUAUGGUGGUCACGCUUUGAGAAUCAUGCUCUUAAGGUGGGUGGUAGACUCUUCUCAAAGCUGAGUACAGAACUGGGACCGACAGGGAAGAAGUACCAUGAGGGAAGUGUGAAAAGGACUUUGGAAAGAGACUUAAAAGAGCCUGUACUUGCUGAAGGAUAUGCAUACAGCAUGCUUGCAUGUGAGAUGAUUGCUGUGUGUAUGAGUCUGACUUUGGCUGGAUGGCCAUGGCCGUGUGCCAUGGACACUUGGCCACCUAAUGUGUAUCCUCUUGUGUGUGCCAGCAUGUGGGAGACAGUCAGUGUUUGAGUGCAGUGGUUGCUGUGUCUGGGGAUACAUCAGAUGUGCACUCAAAGAUCUGAGCAUGUUGAGAAGCAGGUGCAGAAGGGCCCUCCUGUCUGUAUUACCCGUCUUGAAACACGGACCAAGGAGUCUAGCAUGAGUGCAAGCAUAUGGGACCGAAGGCUCUGUGUGCAAUGAAGGUGGAGUCCCAGAUUUGUGCAUGAGUGUUCAAACAAGCAGGAGGACAGGGUUUGAGUCUGAGCAUUCCUGACAGGACCCGAAAGAUGGUGAACUAUGCCCGGAAAGGGCCAAGUCAGGGGAAACUCUGGUGGAGGCUCGUAGCGUUACUGACGUGCAAAUCGUUCGUCACACCUGGGUAUGGGGGCGAAAGACUAAUCGAACCAUCUAGUAGCUGGUUCCCUCUGAAGUUUCCCUCAGGAUAGCUGAACUUGCAGGACUUUCACCAGGUAAAGCGAAUGAUUGGAGGAAUUGGGGGUUGCAGACCUUUGACCUAUUCUCAAACUUUUAAUGGGUGUGUUGUGUGGUUGCUUAGCUGAACCAACAGCUAAUGAUGACUCUUAGUGGGCCACUUUGGUAAGCAGAACUGGCGAUGAGGGGUGAACCUGAUGAUGGGUUAAGGCACUGAAGUUCUUGCUCAUCAGAAACUGUAAAGGGUGUUGGCUCAUUCUGACAGCAGGUCGGUGGUCAUGGAAGUUGAAAUCCGCUUGGGAGUGU
rnacentral:rRNA from 1 species